rnacentral:lncRNA from 10 species
AGAGGCUGUCGGACUCUGACUGCGCGGAGACCGCUGGACUCUGGUCGCGGCCUUAGUCCGCUGAUCCUCGCUUGGGUGCCCGCCCUUAGCGGCCCGGCGUUGAAUUCCGGGAAGUGGGAGCUUCAGGCUCGCUCCGUGCGGGUAUGGGCGCUAAUGUCACUUGGGAUGGUUGCGCAAGGACAUCGCGGCGGACACUGACAAGGAACCGGGGAGGAACGGGGGUGGGGAGAGACUGCGAUGGGACUCGGGAAGCCGGGAAGGGCCGCGCUGAAUAAGCCUAAGGGGCCGGGUCGCAAGGAGUGUCGGGUAGCACAGGCCUCGGCUCAGUCGGAGCGCCAGGCCUCAGGGUCCGGGCGGGGGCUGCUGCGUCACACCAGGCAGCCUGGGAACGCAACUGUUGGGCAACCGUGGUGGCCUCUCGCCACCUCUUACGCUUGGGCGAUCUGCGAUUGACGCAUCCUGGGAGCUGAUGUCCCGCACGGGCGGGGCGCCGGAGGAGGAGAGAAAAUAGAGACCCGGUUGUUGACAGCCUGUGAUGCCGCUUGAUUCAUGUGUGGGUGGCCUGGUUUAGAAAUGUACCACCCUUCCUUUCUAGGUUCCUCCCCGGAGGGCGGGGUGACGGGUGCGGCGCCGAAUCGCAACAAAAAACGCUGCUCGAGGGAUGUUAGUAACUGUCUCAGCUUAAGUUGCUGCCUUUUAGCUUACAGUUUGUAUCGUAACUGUAAUUGUGGAUCUUAGUUAAAUCCCUUCAGUGUGUUGGAAACAUAUUUUUAAGUGUAUUUUUGAAACAUACUUAGAGCAUUUUGAAAUGCUUUUUUGAAAGCGUUUUUUAAAUCAAAAUUCUGUUACACUUUAUUUUUUUCAGUCUGCAGAUGAACUUGACUCACUCAAGGUUAAUGAUUUUUGUUUUUUAUUUAUGUUUGUAGAGGCGGGGUUUUGUCAUGUUGCUAGGUUGGUGUUGAACUCCUGAGCUCGAGCGAUCCACCUGCCACUGCCUUCCAAAGUGCUGGAAUUACAGGCGUGAGCCACGGCGCCCGGUGGCCGAGGUUAAUAAUAAUUAAAAGUUUCUAAUCCCAUUGUUCAGUUAUUUGAUUUGGUGUAAAGGCGCACUUUCCAAGUCAGAUGAGUUUGUGGUAACAUACAUUCCCCAAAUAAUUAUUUUUCCCUUGUGGGAAAUAUUCCAGUUUUAGGCUACCAGCUGUUUAAACAGUUUGGUUCAAAUCCUUCAAAAAAAUCUCAAAACAUAACUCCACAUAUGUAUUUACUACAUAUUGAAGGGUGUAUUCACUUGGAGAAGUAGGAGAAAGCAAACAGAUGCCAAUGGCCUUUUUGAAAACAUGUAUCUAUCAGCAAUAAUUGAAUAGCAAAACGAAGUGGAACACUACCAUCCUUUGCAAUAUUAGAUAGUUUUAAUACUGGGUUGUGAGGAAUGAAAAGAUCAUACAAAUCGUCAUUUCUGAAGUCAUUUCUGAAGUCGUCAUUUCUGAACUGAGUGCUAAUUUUUCAUAUUAAGCUUUAUGUUAAUAUCCUUAAUGAGAGGAACUUCCUGUGCCCGUAAUUUCUCCAGAGAAACUAUUAACAUACACAGAAUGUUGUAAUCAGAAGUAUAGUUCAGUUAAUAAAGUCCUCAAUUACAACUCUGACAUUUUGUCAUUGUCUUAUGAAAAGAAUUACUGUAUAUACAGUCUAUUUUACGUUUUCCGGAAGCACGUCAGGCAGGUUUUUUGUUUUUUUACUACUAAUUGUGCCAUUGAAUAUGCUAUUCUGUCGUAUUGUGCCAUCAAACAUGCUAUUCGAAAAAAGAUCUUGCCCAAUUUGUAAUAAAAUAUUGAACAUUGGAGAUUUA